AAUAGAUACCCCGGUAGUCCUAGCCGUAAACGAUACUCGCUAGGUGUCGGCCACGGUGCGACCGUUGUCGGUGCCGUAGGGAAGCCGUGAAGCGAGCCACCUGGGGAAGUACGGCCGCAAGGCUGAAACUUAAAGGAAUUGGCGGGGGAGCACCACAACGGGGUGGAGCUUGCGGUUUAAUUGGAUUCAACGCCGGAAAUCUUACCGGGACCGACAGCAAUAUGAAGGCCAGGCUGAAGACUUUGCCGGAUUAGCUGAGAGGUGGUGCAUGGCCGUCGUCAGUUCGUACUGUGAAGCAUCCUGUUAAGUCAGGCAACGAGCGAGACCCACACCCACAGUUGCCAGCGUACUCUCUGGAGUGACGGGUACACUGUGGGGACCGCCGCUGCUAAAGCGGAGGAAGGAAUGGGCAACGGUAGGUCAGUAUGCCCCGAAUAUCCCGGGCUACACGCGAGCUACAAUGGUUGGUACAAUGGGUAUCUACCCCGAAAGGGGACGGGAAUCUCCUAAAACCAAUCUUAGUUCGGAUUGAGGGCUGCAACUCGCCCUCA
rnacentral:rRNA from 1 species